rnacentral:rRNA from 1 species
GGGAGGGGGCGGCGUGCUAUACAUGCAAGUCGAGCGAACUGAUUAGAAGCUUGCUUCUAUGACGUUAGCGGCGGACGGGUGAGUAACACGUGGGCAACCUGCCUGUAAGACUGGGAUAACUCCGGGAAACCGGAGCUAAUACCGGAUAACAUUUUCUCUUGCAUAAGAGAAAAUUGAAAGAUGGUUUCGGCUAUCACUUACAGAUGGGCCCGCGGUGCAUUAGCUAGUUGGUGAGGUAACGGCUCACCAAGGCAACGAUGCAUAGCCGACCUGAGAGGGUGAUCGGCCACACUGGGACUGAGACACGGCCCAGACUCCUACGGGAGGCAGCAGUAGGGAAUCUUCCGCAAUGGACGAAAGUCUGACGGAGCAACGCCGCGUGAGUGAUGAAGGCUUUCGGGUCGUAAAACUCUGUUGUUAGGGAAGAACAAGUACAAGAGUAACUGCUUGUACCUUGACGGUACCUAACCAGAAAGCCACGGCUAACUACGUGCCAGCAGCCGCGGUAAUACGUAGGUGGCAAGCGUUAUCCGGAAUUAUUGGGCGUAAAGCGCGCGCAGGCGGUUUCUUAAGUCUGAUGUGAAAGCCCACGGCUCAACCGUGGAGGGUCAUUGGAAACUGGGGAACUUGAGUGCAGAAGAGAAAAGCGGAAUUCCACGUGUAGCGGUGAAAUGCGUAGAGAUGUGGAGGAACACCAGUGGCGAAGGCGGCUUUUUGGUCUGUAACUGACGCUGAGGCGCGAAAGCGUGGGGAGCAAACAGGAUUAGAUACCCUGGUAGUCCACGCCGUAAACGAUGAGUGCUAAGUGUUAGAGGGUUUCCGCCCUUUAGUGCUGCAGCUAACGCAUUAAGCACUCCGCCUGGGGAGUACGGUCGCAAGACUGAAACUCAAAGGAAUUGACGGGGGCGCGCACAAGCGGUGGAGCAUGUGGUUUAUUCGAAGCAACGCGACGAACAUACCAUGUCUUGACAUCGUCUGACACUCUACAGAUAGAGCGUUCCCCUUCCGGGGACAGAGUGACAGGUGGUGCAUGGUUGUCGGCUCUCGUGUCGUGAGAUGUUGGGUUAGUCCAGCACGACCGCACCCGUGAUCUUAGUUGCAGCAUUUAGUGGCACUCUAAGGUGACUGCUGUGAC